GACUAGGGUCUGGAGGAGGCUGGGUACUCCAGGGGAACCAAACAAGGAGUCCAGUGCUCCAUAGCAGAAUCAAAGUCUCUCACAGGUACCCUGGAGAAGGGAAGAAAAACUGCUAGCUGAUGACAGCCCUGAAACAGAAACAUUUGAGAAGGCUUCUUUAUCUGCAGUUUUGGGGUCACAGUACAUGAGCUCUUCUGCAUUGGCAUCUCUGCCACUGGAACCUCUGGGGCACUGCCCCACUCAGAUAAAAGAAGAAAUAAAAUCACAUUUGAAUGGUGAUGAAACCUCAUCAUGAUGCAAUGAGACAAAAGCAACAAAUCCCACCAUCAGUAUAGUAAAUAUACAUCCAACAAGAGGCUAGACUGUGCUAUUUAGAUACAGCCUUACAACGGGGAUGGCAUAGAGGCCUCAGCCAGGCAGAAAGCCUUCUGUAACUCUUGAGCAUGCAAACUCUUUGUGCCUGCUACUUACAACCCUUUCAACCUGCUCUCUUCACCCUGUGAGACUGGACAUGAGACAUGAUUUCAGA